GCCGACGUAGCUCAACUGGUAGAGCACCUGAUUUGUAAUCAGGGGUUGGGGUUCAAGUCCCUCCGUCGGCACCA
rnacentral:tRNA from 1 species